rnacentral:piRNA from 2 species
ACCGAGCUGCUGAUCCGCAAGCUGC